rnacentral:rRNA from 1 species
CCUACGGGUGGCAGCAGUGGGGAAUAUUGCACAAUGGGGGGAACCCUGAUGCAGCGAAGCCGCGUGAGUGAAGAAGUAUUUCGGUACGUAAAGCCCUAUCAGCAGGGAAGAAAAAAGGACGGUACCUGCGUAAGAAGCCCCGGCUAACUACGUGCCAGCAGCCGCGGUAAUACGGAGGGGGCAAGCGUUAUCCGGAAUUACUGGGGGUAAAGGGAGCGUAGACGGGAAUGCAAGUCCGGAGGGGAAUGGGGCAGCUCAAAUGCCGAACUGCGCUGGAAACUGUAUGGCUUGAGUGCAGGAGGGGUAAGCGGAAUGCCUGGUGUAGCGGUGAAAUGCGUAGAUAUCAGGAGGAACACCGGUGGCGAAGGCGGCAUACUGGACUGUAACUGACGUUGAGGCUCGAGAGCGUGGGGAGCAAACAGGAUUAGAUACCCUGGUAGUC